rnacentral:rRNA from 1 species
UACGAAGGGGGAGCUAGCGUUGCUCGGAAUCACUGGGCGUAAAGGGUGCGUAGGCGGGUUUUUAAGUCAGGGGUGAAAUCCUGGAGCUCAACUCCAGAACUGCCUUUGAUACUGAAGAUCUUGAGUUCGGGAGAGGUGAGUGGAACUGCGAGUGUAGAGGUGAAAUUCGUAGAUAUUCGCAAGAACACCAGUGGCGAAGGCGGCUCACUGGCCCGAUACUGACGCUGAGGCACGAAAGCGUGGGGAGCAAACAGGG